AUUUCUGAGAAACUGUCACAGCCGAGAGGAGCCUAAGGAGACAUGAUGAUUAACUAAAAUGUCCUGAAUGGGAUCCUGGAACAGGACUUCAGUGAAUGUGCAUUAUCUUUAUAAUCAGAAAAGAUUAUUAAAGCCAUCAGAAAGGAUGAAUACCCAACUUUUGUAUCAACAUGGACAGGACUGGAGGAGAUUAUGCUGAGUGAAUUGAUGGAGAGCACCGGGCUCCGUGGCCACCCAUGUACAUUGUCACUGGUCUGUCGGCUCACCAUGUUGGCACGGGUGGCAGACCUGCAGCCCCUCUAGCACCUGCCAGAUGUCCUCUGUUCCCUUCCCUGAGUCUUAUGUUGAAGGGCACCAGCUUUUCUUCCCAACUGCUAAUCUAUCUGACCUAUGGUGACUUUGGGUCAACAUGAGACCCAGAAGCAACAACCUACACAGACCACCUCACCAGCACCCACAACUGCAUCGGAUCUAAUCUCUAUAGUAAAUUCUUUAUUCUGUGCCACUCAUGGCAGUUUUGUUUCUCUGAUUGAAGCCUGACUGAUAUUCUUGUCAGUGGAGGAUUUCAGGGUAUAGUGACAUUUUGGAGGAGAACUGGAAGACUUUCCAACACGCAUCCUACCCCAGAUAAUUCGUCUAAGCCAAACCAGGUGGUCCCACCCCUCUUGCCAGGGUUUGGUUCAGAGAUGGGAGAAUGAAGUCAAUUUAAGCUGGCAGAAUGCAAGGAGAAGCUUGCUUGGGAUUUCUGGAAGUAAAAAUUCAAUCUAUCUCAUCCAACUGGAAAUAAACACAAGAGUAUGCUGUAACAGUUGCUGUUGGCAUCCAUCAUGUGACCAUGUGGGGAACCAGCUUUAGAAUAAAGCUGAUACGAUUGAUAGCAAAGAGAAAAACCAAUAAAACCUAGGUCUGAAUGUAUCUUUGAGCUGUGGAAUCAAUAAAGUCUUCCCUCUUUCUGAACUUCCUUUUACAUGGGAUAAUAAAUUUCCCU